rfam:Clostridium puniceum strain DSM 2619 CLPTN_contig000145, whole genome shotgun sequence.
AAUAGGUGAAAUUCCUAUGGUGUCUUAAUGUUGGAAGGCACACUCUAAGACUCCGACAUGCAUUAUAUCUUAUCAAUAUAAUGUAUGAAGUCCGGUGAAGGCGGUGAAAAUCAGACCUGAGAAGUGGUUAGAGAAAUAAUCGGGAGGCUAUAAA